rnacentral:lncRNA from 1 species
AAACAAAAAAGAAUAAGAUUGAAGAAAUAUAUAUCAUUUGCAACAUAAGAUGGACCGCAUAAAGAAUAAAUUAACUGAAAUAAAUUGACAAAUCAUUGCUCAUUGUUUUCCAAGUUUAAAAACACUAGGCAAGAAGCACUACAAAAAUCUUCAAAGAUAAACAUCUAUAGGAAAAUAUGAGUCUUCGAUUGCAUUAAAACUGUCAAUCUGCCCUGAACCAUCCAACUAUUCAUAAUGUAAAGCAACUCCAUCUUAAGAAUUUCUUUACUUUCCGUACAUGAACAUCAUUUGAACGCAAAAUUAUGAAGAUAAAGACCAAAUAAAGCGUUCAUAUUCAAGAAAGUGUUUUUUCAAGAAAGAACACUGACUUGUACUAUAGCUUUCUAACUCCAUUAACCAAAAUACCAAUUAGGUUCAUACUGAAACGAUACUGUUUAAAGAGAAAAAUGAACAAGCACCAGAAGUUGGGGAUUGUAAAAAUGAAGCAUGAAAUUGUUCAAUUUACAAGAGUCACACAAUAUGAUAAACUAAUACCAAAAGAGAAUAUUCACCAUGAAUGAAAUCUACAGCUUGGCAUAUAUUGACUAUGGAUGGAGCAAAGAGGUAAUCUCUCGUGGGAAGCACCAAAUGAUGGAUACCAUGAGCCUAAUAAAAUGUACUCAACUUGUCAGGAAGCAAAAAAUAAUAACAAAACCACCAAAAGUGUAAAAUAAUUCAAAAAAGUAAUGAACAAUGUUAUAAAGGUAAUAGCUAUAGUGAAAAGAAUAGAAAACAACUUCAAACAUUAUAGCUCUUCUUAUAGCAGUUAGAUAUUACACACGUCGACCAUUCAAGACUUCAGUCAUGCAACUCAAAAACAAAAAUAAAAAAUAAAUAAAAUGUUGCAUUAUUUAAUUUUAGUUAUACGAGAAAAUUAAAUGAUAAAACAAAAUCCAAUAACUGACGAGUGUCAUUCCAUCUUCCUCAACCAAGCUCACUCACCCAUCCAUUUUAAUCCAUCUCCAGCCGCAACCAAACACGUCCACAAAUGCAAUCAUUUCGCUUGUCGGCAUCAUAACAACCACCUUAGAGAGAGAGAGAGAGAGAGAGAGAAAACACGAUUAUGAUAAAAUAAUCAACCUCGUUAAAAGUAGUAAAGUCCUUAUAUUAUACAGUGAAUUUAUUUAAUCGUUAUUCGAUGUUGGAUUUACCCUUAACAACUAUAAGAAAGAAGAAAAUGUGAAAAAAAUAUGAUAUCAUUGCAAAUGCCUUGAUCUACCGAAACUACCGCACGAAAACUGGUGUUUUUGUAAUGAAGCCAAUUCAUAUGUCUGGAAUAUUAAGAUUUUGUUGAACUACAAAAUGGAUUUUAAUUUAUAUUUCCAUAAAAUUUUAUUCGCUCCAUUUAUGUUGAAAUGGAUUUGGUCUCAGCCCAGUCUCUAUUGCACUUUCUGCUAGCAAGGUCAUUUACUCGUUAAUUCAAAAUUUGAAAUAUACAUCAAAUAUUAAUUGUAACUAUGGUCCUGAAUGGCAAAUUGCACACAGAAUUGAACCGUUGCUUAAUGAAACAGAGUUCGUUCUUAAGCAAAAGUAUUUUCAGAAAGAAACGAGUCUCAAUUUACGAAGGGAACGUUUACAGAUUUCUCGAGACCAGUAUUUUGCUCUAUAUAAAGAACCCAGAUAUUCACAACUCAGAAGAACAUACAUACAUACAUACUAAACAUCUACGGUUAAACUUUCCAGUUGCUUCCAUUAACUGCACAACCACCAUCACUAGAUAGCUUCUUGCUUGAAAUCUUUUGACGAGAAUUCCAAAUAAACCAGAGUCCGGAGAGUCUGGCCAGAGCUGCAUCACCAGCAACUUUAACUCGGUAUAUCAAACUCACAUCUGCCCAUAUCUCAUUUCCAGCAAUUCCAGGCUCGUCUCCUCGAACAUAUCCAUCAACAUCUGUCUCUGUUAUAACAACUACAGAGCCAUCGUCAAAUGCAAAGAGAUCUCGCUUAGCCAAGAACCUUGGACUUAGGGAUAGACCAGUCAACUGGCUUGAGCUAUUAGCAUUCAUCUUGAGAUGGUAAAAUUCUUGGACAGCCUACAAUUGUUAUACAUUCUUUUAUAAGGCGGGCCAACAAACACAAAAUUUGGGAUUCAAACCAUAUGUGAAUAAAAUGACAAAAUUUUCCAACAGGGAAGCUGAAUUCAAGCAUCUACUCAAUUUUUGUUUUGCAUAAAAAACACAGUAUAACAGAACUGCAGAAAUAUGGGGCAAGGCAAAUAAAAAGUCAGAAAAUCCAAACCAACCUUCCACUGGGAAGAUGCUAAGAGGACCCUUGGUCGUAUUGACUUCACAUAAUCAUAUGCCGCAUCAGGCUUCAUCUGCCUAUACUUCACCUGCACAUUAAAAAAUAUUAUGAGAACAGGAAACAGCAAAGAUCAAUUAUAACUAGAUUAAUUAACCAACUCACUAGAUAACAGAUGACAAUGGUUGUGCUGCGUCCCCGACCAGCCUUACAGUGGAUGUAUGUACUUCGCCUCUGGGAUGCAUUCUCUUUAACACAAAACAAAAAAGAAUAAGAUUGAAGAAAUAUAUAUCAUUUGCAACAUAAGAUGGACCGCAUAAAGAAUAAAUUAACUGAAAUAAAUUGACAAAUCAUUGCUCAUUGUUUUCCAAGUUUAAAAACACUAGGCAAGAAGCACUACAAAAAUCUUCAAAGAUAAACAUCUAUAGGAAAAUAUGAGUCUUCGAUUGCAUUAAAACUGUCAAUCUGCCCUGAACCAUCCAACUAUUCAUAAUGUAAAGCAACUCCAUCUUAAGAAUUUCUUUACUUUCCGUACAUGAACAUCAUUUGAACGCAAAAUUAUGAAGAUAAAGACCAAAUAAAGCGUUCAUAUUCAAGAAAGUGUUUUUUCAAGAAAGAACACUGACUUGUACUAUAGCUUUCUAACUCCAUUAACCAAAAUACCAAUUAGGUUCAUACUGAAACGAUACUGUUUAAAGAGAAAAAUGAACAAGCACCAGAAGUUGGGGAUUGUAAAAAUGAAGCAUGAAAUUGUUCAAUUUACAAGAGUCACACAAUAUGAUAA